rnacentral:snRNA from 1 species
CCUGCCUCAGCAGUUCAUAACUACUGGAAGGAUUCAGAGAAGACUGGCCUAGCUACAGAGCAAGGAUGACACACAAAUGUGUGGAGUUUUUUAUAUGUUU